rnacentral:tRNA from 1 species
GCACUUAUAGCUCAGUGGUAGAGCAACCGCCUUGUAAGCGGUAGGUCGUGGGUUCAAAUCCUACUGAGGGCACCA